rnacentral:lncRNA from 1 species
ACUCGACUCUGAGCCUGGGCGUCCAGCACACCCACCCUAAAAUUUCUCACGUUUGCAAUCCGGCCAUCCUGCACACAAGCAGAAAAUCUGCCGCCCUGAUUCCUUCGCCGAGCAGGAAGCGCGAUGCACAAUCCACUGGGGAGGGCGUCUCUCUAGCAUCGCAGGAAGAGAUCUCCCGGAUUGCCGCAGCUUCUUCAAUCGCUAGCACCCUCCCCCUCAGUCCCCUGCGUGUCUGCAACUAUGGAUCUCUACAUGCGACGGCGGCUCCCAUCGGUAGAAGCCACGGCGUCUCGGUGACGGCUAAGCGGC